CUCCACGUAGGACUAAAAAAUCUACCAAUGAAGAACAUAUUUUUUGACACGUCAUAUCAGUCUAAAAAUGAAUAACAAUAAACUUCUCCGUGUGGGUUUACAAUAUUAAAGAUUGGCCCAGAUCGAGCCCACAUCUCAAAAUUCUAAAUUCCUAAUGAAGCGUUGAUUGUUUCUUCCAUAGAGACUCCGUCUUCUCCGUUUCCUAUAGCAGGCAAUAAAUCUCCAUUACUCUCUUCAACAAUCAAUUAUGUUCUUCACUCCCUCUUAAUGAAUUCGUCUCACCUCCCUUUCUUUCUCCUCCUUUAUAAACUUACUUCCAAAUAAACCUGAAGAUCCCCUGAACUGAAGUAAUGGCGAUGUAAGCCUAACAGUUCCAAAGCUAAAGCGCAUGAAUCGUAUCCUCCUCCAGGUAUGUAAUAUUGUAAAAGACUUCUUAUUUUGUUUGGAUUCCUUGCGGUAGAAUGAACCUUUUGAUCUUCUGGCACGACUCUAAAUCUCUUUUUUUCCUGGUGAUCAAAUUGAUUAGGUAUUACCAAUCUGCGCCUUACGAAGGUGCCUGUCAGGGUACUUCUCAGCCUCAGCCUACACAACAAAAUACAAUCACUUCCUGCUAUCAUGAUCAUCACUAUUAGUACAACGCUAACUCUGGUUCGUUCUUUGAUCUCCUUCUUUCUGGAUCCACCAUAAAUUAUUUUUCUAGAUCACUGUAUCCUUUACCUACUGUACGUGUUUUAGGAGUAUUGAAUCAGUAAUAUGGAUACUGAUUCAGUUAUUGCGUUCUUAGUCUUAAAAUGAACUCUCAAACUAAAUGUGAAUUAACAUAGGAUCCCCUUGAUGUGUUUAGAUUUGUGACUGAGAUAUUGAUGUGAUAUUAUGGUAAUUCUCUAAGGCAUCAUUUGAUAGUUCCGACGUGAUAAUCUAAAAAAUACUAUGUAAAACGUGUUAAGUUUAUGUCAUCAGGACAUCAUCUUCUUCAGUUAAACAAAGUCUCAUCUUAUGUAUUUUAGAGGAAUGCCGCUUAAGUUUAAUAGCUAUCGGAUCGAACCACUAAGACCGAAAACGAAAGUCAACUUCGUUGCCUGUUUUUUAAUGUUUGUCAGAUUCAUUAAAGAGGAGAUUCAGUGGAAGAUAAGAUCAAAAGGAACAAGACCAAGAAUAUAUCACUCCAUCAAUAUGUUGUUCUCUAGGAAUACAAAGAACUGAUCAAAAAGGCAAGUCAUGGUCCUUCUCUACAGUCUGUCAAGCUAUGAAAGUUUUGAAACCGAAGGAAAUGUGAGAAUCAUUUUACAUCUUUCCUUUAUUAAAUAAUCUCAUGGAAGAACUUUCCUUUUGUAUGUAUAGUUGGAAUUUUUAGAAUGAUUGAAUCUCAACUUCAGGGUUAACGUAAGCUCAUCAUCGUCCUUUUU
rnacentral:lncRNA from 1 species